rfam:Sporosarcina psychrophila strain DSM 6497, complete genome.
CUCUUAUCCCGAGCUGGUGGAGGGGUCAGGCCCUAUGAAACCCGGCAACCUGCACAGACGUUUUGUCUGCGCGAAGGUGCCAAACCUGUAGCAAGGCACAGUCCUUGUAUGAUAAGAG